rnacentral:rRNA from 1 species
GACGAACGCUGGCGGCGUGCUUAACACAUGCAAGUCGAACGGAAAGGCCCUGCUUUUGUGGGGUGCUCGAGUGGCGAACGGGUGAGUAACACGUGAGUAACCUGCCCUUGACUUUGGGAUAACUUCAGGAAACUGGGGCUAAUACCGGAUAGGAGCUCCUGCUGCAUGGUGGGGGUUGGAAAGUUUCGGCGGGUGGGGAUGGACUGGCGGCUUAUCAGCUUGUUGGUGGGGUAGUGGAUUACCAAGGCUUUGACGGGUAGCCGGCCUGAGAGGGUGACCGGCCACAUUGGGACUGAGAUACGGCCCAGACUCCUACGGGAGGCAGCAGUGGGGAAUAUUGCACAAUGGGCGGAAGCCUGAUGCAGCAACGCCGCGUGCGGGAUGACGGCCUUCGGGUUGUAAACCGCUUUCGCCUGUGACGAAGCGUGAGUGACGGUAAUGGGUAAAGAAGCACCGGCUAACUACGUG